rnacentral:rRNA from 1 species
AGAGUUUGAUCAUGGCUCAGAACGAACGCUGGCGGCGUGCCUAACACAUGCAAGUCGAGCGAGAAAGUCCCCGCAAGGGGAUGAGUAAAGCGGCGAACGGGUGAGUAACACGUGGGCAACCUGCCCUUCAGUCAGGAAUAACCCACCGAAAGGUGGGCUAAUACCGGAUAAUGUCCUUUGGGGGCAUCUUCGGGGGACCAAAGGGGGCGAGCGCAAGCGGCUCCCGCUGAGGGAUGGGCCUGCGGCUGAUUAGCUAGUUGGUGGGUAGCGGCCUACCAAGGCAACGAUCAGUAGCCGACCUGAGAGGGUGACCGGCCACACUGGGACUGAGACACGGCCCAGACUCCUACGGGAGGCAGCAGUGGGGAAUAUUGCGCAAUGGGCGAAAGCCUGACGCAGCGACGCCGCGUGGGUGAUGAAGGCCUUCGGGUCGUAAAACCCUGUCGGGUGGAACGAAUCCCCUCCCCUCUAAUACAGGGGAGGAUUGACGGUACCACCGAAGGAAGCCCCGGCUAACUACGUGCCAGCAGCCGCGGUAAUACGUAGGGGGCGAGCGUUGUUCGGAUUUACUGGGCGUAAAGAGCGCGUAGGUGGUUCGAUGAGUCGGAGGUGAAAUCCCUCGGCUUAACCGAGGACCCGCGUCCGAUACUGUCGAACUUGAGUGCA